CCCCCCCCCCCCCCCCCAAUUUUAACAAAUUGAAAUAGUCGGCUUUUCGUGAGCCGGAGGUUUGGUAACGAGCAUUACUAAAACUGUCUUAGCUUGUUAGUCGCCCCGCACAGUCCAGAAAAACGUGCUUGAAACGUUAUUGUCAUCGGCUUCGUGCGUUAGGUCUGACACGGAACAUAGGGUUGCACUGGUAUACCGGUACCAGGAAAGUACAGUGGAACCUCGAUAAAACCGACCCCGAUUUAAUGGAUAUCGGAUAAAACGGACCAUCAGGACUGAACAAUGUGUCCAAAAAUAGUUUCCAUUUGUCACUUAAACUGCUGUUGACAAAGUCUGUUGACUAAUGUUUACUGGCACUGUGGCACAAUGCAGGCAGAGAAUGGGAUUGACGUAUUUCUGAGUUACAGAUAUACAAUAUGACGAGAUAUGGUGGCCAUGUUGAAUGUGGCGCAUUGACAUGGCAGCCAUGUGAAGAUGGUUAGUGGUUUGAAAAAGUGUUUGCCCCCUUCCUGCUUUCUUUCUCUUUUUUGCCCAUCAUCAAAGAAAUUUAAAUACUAGUCAAAGACAACACAAGUAAACACAAAAUGUAGUUUUUAAAUGAAUGUUUGUAUUAUUAAGGGAGAAAUCACUUCCUAUUGAAGGGAUUUCUUGAUUGAGAACAAGUGUCAGUGUCAGGGCUGGGUGUGGCUAGAGAAAUUGAACUCGGCUAUCAUAAACCACAAUUAAGUUUUAACAGGGUGGGGGAAUCUCUUUUUCACACAGGGGUAUGUAGGUUUGGAUUUUUAUUUUCGUCUCCCUUAUCUCAUUCCCUGCCAAUGCUGUCCAAAUCAUCAUUAAGAAUCCAUCUAUUCCCUGCCAAUGCCGUCUAAAGACGUCGAUGGCGUUUUUUAAUGGGGAUGGGUGGGAGAGGGUCUUGUGCAGUUUGUGUGAUCGUCAAGCCUCUGGAUAACUACAAUAAGGAAUGGCACCCUGUAGAGGGCAACAAUGCCUUGAGGUGAAUGUCCCUUUCUCAGAUUGAAGAAGAAGAAGAAGAAGGAGGGGGCGGGUCGGCGGGGUCCAACAGAAAUGAGAAGAGACAAACAUAAUGGCGGAAAAGAGAGAAGACGAAAAAAAAUCUAAAAAAGAAAGCUUUCGGUACUAGAAAUGUAUUGCGCCAAGAAAAAUAUUCCUGCGACCGACAGGAAUGAAUGAUGCCUUUAGAUCAUGCGGGGGAAUAAAGGAUGACACGCCAAAUGCCCGUACAUAUGGCGAGAUGCUCUCGGCCCCUUGCCGGCUAAUCGUCUGCCGGCCAGGAUUUGAAUAAAUGGGAUCCGAAAUUGUCAGAUGAGUGAACUCCCUUUUGGAUGGCCAGCCGACCUUCAUCCCGAGCUUCCUCCGAUGAAGAUCGACGAAGGCGAAGACGAAGGUAACUCGUUUGUAGCCUGCGUUAGCUACAUUUAGCGAGCAAACACGCUCCUUCAAGCCUUGUUACAUAAUUUAGUCCCACUAGUUCACAUUACAAUGUAACAUCUGUUGCCAGUACUGAUGUGAAUUUUCCAUUUGGUCCAACUUGCAGGAAUUCAACACCCGUGAGUCGAACGUCUUUUACUAUUGCGACGAAAUGAUGCAUCGACUCCCAUUCCAGUACGCAGUGCAGACAAAAAAGGUUGUGCUUCGAGCAGAAGGAAUGACUGCUUUCAAGGAGAAUGACAACCACACAAGAUC